UGAUAACAUCCUAUGCGUACAAGAGCAUAGCUGGUUGUAUGAGAGCUGCACAUGUUGCACUCCUAUGUUUGAACAAAAGAAUUAGGGGUGACUGUGCUGCAAUGGACAAGGCAUUUUAGGGGAGGAAAUGAAGUUGUGUGUUCGUCUGGACCUUCAUUUCAGAUGGAACCAUAUUAGGCAUUCAGAGUUGCAUAGAAGUCUUAUCUCUUCAGGCUAAGCAAUAGACAAGUUUGGUCAAAUCAAGUUGGUGCUUACAGGGCUUCCAUCUGCCUGUAUACAUGUACAGAAGUGUCCCCUUGUCUCUUGUAACUCAAACUGAGGUCAGAUGCUGGUGAGCCAUGUGAUUGCAGAUUUAAUUGGGUCAAGAGACAGGUGGUGGUGGGGAAAUUGCAAUUGCAGUGAGACUGAUAAAAAACAAACAAGUAGGCUUCAGAGUGGUCGCAAAAAGGCUCGAAGCAAUCUCUGAUCCUCACACUGGCAAUAUGACUGGUUGUGGCUAAGAAUUCACUGCUCAAACCUAUGUCUAGAACAGGCUGAUCAGAACAUGCUAAAACUUGUGAAAUUUUGAGUUUGGGGUCCAGAUUUUAAUACUCAUGCCCAGCCUGUCCAUUCAGGAGUGUUUGGAGCCAGGGUUUUGAUAAGGUCCAUUAUAGUGGAUUUGGGUCUAGAUGUUUUGUUCAGGUUCUCCUCUUUUUGAAACACCAUUUGUUUCAUUUUAAAUGAGCCAAAAACUGUCAUUUUAACGGCAAAUGCACAAGGAAGCAGUAAAAUGAGCUUUACUGAGUUUACACAAUUCCACAAUUGAGUCACGUGUUGCAAAGGUAUGAGGGCAUUUCCUUCAUUCUCUUGUGGUCUGGUUUGUGGCCUGCAGAACAUCUCAAACUGAUAGACGAUAACUCCCAUUUCAGGAAACUCCUUGGACUCAACUGAAAGAGGACAGUCUGAUUACGGAACGGGAAGAUGGGAUCACCUGGCAACUUCCCCUGAAGAGGAACGAGACAUUCAUGAGGGCAGAUCCUUAUUAAAGAAUUGGAGGGACUGAAAUAGUUCAAGUACUGGAAAACAAGCUGCUGUAGGAUAUUAUUGAGGCAACACAUUAUCUCAAUCAAUGCACUUCACCACUUGAAGCUGUCACUUCUGCCUCUGAAGUGAGGACCUACAUUUCCCAUCAUGUAAGACUGUGAACCUAGGUGUACAACCUUUACACUGCAGAAUAAAGGGCC